GUUUUUAUAGUUUAUUAAAAUAUUGGUCUUGUAAACCAAAGAUAACAAAAGUUUAAAAACA
rnacentral:tRNA from 1 species